AUCAUGGAGAGAUUGAUCCUGGCUCAGAACGAACGCUGGCGGCGCGUCUUAAGCAUGCAAGUCGGACGGCAAGGCGGGAGCUUGCUCCUGCCCUAGAGUGGCGGACUGGUGAGUAACACGUGGGUGACAUACCCUCUGGUUGGGGAUAGCCGGUAGAAAUACCGGAUAAUACCGAAUACGAACGCACAGGUUAGAGUGGUGCGAGGAAAGGAGCUACGGCUUCGCCGGAGGAUUGGCCCGCGGCCCAUUAGCUAGUUGGAGUGGUAAAGGCACACCAAGGCAAUGAUGGGUAUCCGGCCUGAGAGGGUGAUCGGACACAUUGGGACUGAGAUACGGCCCAGACUCCGACGGGAGGCAGCAGCUAAGAAUAUUCCGCAAUGGACGAAAGUCUGACGGAGCGACGCCGCGUGGAUGAGGAAGGCCGGAAGGUUGUAAAAUCCUUUUGGGACUGAAGAAUAAGCGGUGCAGGGAAUGGCAUUGUGGUGACGGUAGGUCCUGAAUAAGCAACGGCUAAUUACGUGCCAGCAGCCGCGGUAACACGUAAGUUGCGAGCGUUGUUCGGAAUUAUUGGGCGUAAAGGGCAUGUAGGCGGCCCUGCAAGCUUGGUGUGAAAUCCACAGGCUCAACCUGUGGACUGCAUUGAGAACUACAGGGCUUGAGUCGCUGAGGCGAAACUGGAAUUCCAGGUGUAGGGGUGAAAUCUGCAGAUAUCUGGAAGAACACCAAUGGCGAAGGCAAGUUUCGGGCAGAUGACUGACGCUGAGGUGCGAAGGUGCGGGGAGCAAACAGG
rnacentral:rRNA from 1 species